rnacentral:rRNA from 1 species
GACGAACGCUGGCGGCGUGCCUAACACAUGCAAGUCGAACGGAGAAUUGAACUUCGGUUCAAUUCUUAGUGGCGAACGGGUGAGUAACGCGUAGGCAACCUGCCCUUUAGACGGGGACAACAUUCCGAAAGGGAUGCUAAUACCGGAUGUGACGGCGUCAUCGCAUGACGAUGCCGUGAAAGAUGGCCUCUGAUUUAAGCUAUCGCUAAAGGAUGGGCCUGCGUCUGAUUAGCUAGUUGGGAGUGUAACGGACAACCAAGGCGAUGAUCAGUAGCCGGUCUGAGAGGAUGAACGGCCACAUUGGGACUGAGACACGGCCCAGACUCCUACGGGAGGCAGCAGUGGGGAAUCUUCCGCAAUGGGCGAAAGCCUGACGGAGCAACGCCGCGUGAGUGAAGAAGGCCUUCGGGUUGUAAAGCUCUGUUGUGCAUGACGAACGUGCUGAUUGUGAAUAAUGGUUAGUAAUGACGGUAGUGUACGAGGAAGCCACGGCUAACUACGUGCCAGCCGCCGCCGUAAUAC